rnacentral:rRNA from 1 species
UACGCGAGGAACCUUACCUGGGCUUAAAUGCUUAAUGACGUACUGGGAAACUGGUAUUUCUUCGGACAUUUUGCAAGGUGCUGCAUGGUUGUCGUCAGCUCGUGCCGUGAGGUGUCGGGUUAAGUCCCAUAACGAGCGCAACCCUAUGUUAGUUGCCAUCAGGUCAUGCUGGGGACUCUAACAAAACUGCCCGCGUAAGCGUGGACGGAAGGUGGGGGAGUGACGUCAAAUCAGCACGGCCCUUACGUCCAGGGCUACACACGUGCUACAAUGGCCGGUACAGAGGGCAGCCACUUGGUGACAAGGAGCAAAUCUCAAAAGCCGGUCUCAGUUCGGAUCGGAGUCUGCAACUCGACUCCGUGAAGUUGGAUUCGCUAGUAAUCGUAGAUCAGCAAUGCUACGGUGAAUACGUUCCCGGGCCUU